rnacentral:rRNA from 1 species
UACGGGGGGGGCAAGCGUUGUUCGGAAUUACUGGGCGUAAAGGGCUCGUAGGUGGCCAACUAAGUCGGACGUGAAAUCCCUCGGCUUAACCGGGGAACUGCGUCUGAUACUGGAUGGCUUGAGUUUGGGAGAGGGACGCGGAAUUCCAGGUGUAGCGGUGAAAUGCGUAGAUAUCUGGAGGAACACCGGUGGCGAAGGCGGCGUCCUGGACCAAUACUGACACUGAGGAGCGAAAGCCAGGGGAGCAAACGGG